UUAAAUUAUUUAUAAUGCCAUACUGUAUGUCUCAGGGAAAAUAGUAUACAUAUCAGUCCUUCAUAAUUGGUUAUUACACAAAUAAUUUUUUCAAGUGCAUUGAAUUUUAGUUUUUUAUCUAUAACUUGGAAGUAUUAAUACCUACCUUGAGAAGAGAAGUUUAAAAGAUAACAUGACAAAACUUUAGCGCAGUGUAAGGCCUCACUGUUUUUUCUCUUUUCGAUACACAUUUUCAUUUCCUUGUGAAUUGACAGAAUGGCCUCAGAAUUGAAAAGAGCUUCGUUUUCAUAAGAAGCGUUGACAUUCUUUGAAAAAAUCAAUAUAACUGAUGAUCCUGUCUAAGGGAAGACCCUCAACUUCAUAGAUGAUGAUGAGGAAUACCAAGACUCCAAAGGAAAUGACUCAAGAAGCAAGCAGGCUGGCUUGCCACAGCUCCAUAGGUGCAAUAGUAGACCAGGCGACUCUGUGGAUCAGAGCAAGAUGGUUUCCUACUCACAGCACAUCAAACAGCAGGUGUUACUUGUUCCCAUUUUUAUCUUAAUUAUUUCACACUAGACAUUGACUGAUAACAAUCAAUAAAAUAGUGCAUUCAAGAGAGAAAUGUAAUUUCCAUUAAAUAUCACUUUUAGGAAGAUCCAGCUUUUAAAAUCUAAAACAACAGAAAAGCAUGUAUUGAACAGAGCCUAGAACAGCUAAUGGGGCAAAUCCCACCCGUUUUCUGGAUCUGUAGCAUCACAGCAAUCCUAUCUAUUCCCAUUGUAGGUCCUCUUGUGGAUUAUGUCCUCUGUCAAAAUGAUUUCCCCAGUCUCAUUGUUUCUAUUCAACCACUUGCCCGCUUUGAAAAGAUUGUUUUCUACCCAACUUGAUGUUUCAGGGAACUAAACUGCCAACUUUUUUCCUCCCUGGAUUCUGAAACUAUACAGUGUAUUUUUAUACCUUUCUAGGUUGUUCUCUAAACUAAAAAGAUGAGGGAGGGUCAGUAAAAAUCAUUUUGGGAAUAGGUCACGGGGCUAAUUUAAAACUAUCUCAGGUUUUGAGUUUCCAUUAACUGAGAUAAGGAGAAAGUACCCCAGAAGUGUAAUAUAUUUGAUUUAGAGUUGUCUUUGAAAUGGUCAGUGGAGCUAGAAAUCCUUUUGGAUUUAUGUAAAUUGUAGUCCCAAAAUGGCUUUUCUUAAUACUAACACUGAAAACAAUGGAGAGCUAGACAAUUCAGUGCAGGGUUACUCUAAAUAGGAACCUGUGCUCUUCUGCCCUAGGGUACUUGGAGCCAAAGUCAACAAACAAAAAUCAAACCCAAACAAAUAAAAACAGCAGAAAUCUUGCCAGAAGAAGUUGGCAUGCAGAAAGUGGUUUUAGGAAACAUCACUCUUUGACUGUUUGUCUUUCGAUUUUGAGACAUCUAUACUUGAAUUGUCUUUUUGUUAUUUUUGUUUUUGUAUUUGUUUUUGUUUCUUACAAUUUCCCCGAAUUACCAAAAUUCUAGAAAAGAGCACUUCUGAGUUUGGAUUUAUUCUGCCUCUGUAUUCUAGCUCUUCAUAGCCCUCUAUUCUUAAAGAUGACUAAACAGAUUGGUUGUAAGAAUGAAUUACUUGGUGACUUUCUUAAAAUAAUUAUUUGGGAGAAGUGUAUGUGUUUUUAUUUUUAAAGUAAGGGGUGUAUGUGGUAAUGAUCAUAAAAUCUAAACUUUUUCCAUACACAAGAAAGAACUUUACAAAAUUCUUUUUUGGUUUUGGUUCUGGAAUAAAUGCCUAACCUCUUUUGAGAAGACAUAAUCAUUUCAGGAUUACUUUCCUCUUUCAACUACACAUCUGGGAUUUUAAACCUCUACAUUUCCUGUAAUUACUUUGUUUGAACCCAUAAACAUUAACCGUAUUUCACAUAGAGAAAUUUUGAAUUAUAAAAAUAUACCACAAUAGUAUAGACAUAAAGUACAGGUGACACUAUUAUUUAAUUUGUUUGCCAAAGGCCCUAAACUUUUUUUCUCUUACCCUGACACAGUGGUGUUCAACAUUAUUGAGUACUUUGUCCUUAAUUUUUAACAAA